AUGUGGGGAGGCGGCGAGUUAGUAGCAGUAGGUGGCAAAGUGGCUUUGUUACCUAUUCCAUUAGGAACAAUAAAUUUUUUAGUCCAUCACAUUCAUGCAUUUACCAUACAUGUGACUGUAUUAAUACUUUUGAAAGGUGUUUUAUUUGCUCGGAGUUCCCGUUUGAUACUUGAUAAAGCAAAUCUAGGUUUUCGCUUUCCUUGCGAUGGGCCUGGCUGAGGGGGAACAUGUCAAGUAUCCGCCUGGGAUCAUGUUUUCUUAGGUUUAUUUUGGAUGUACAAUGCAUUUAGUUAG
rnacentral:rRNA from 1 species